ensembl:ncRNA Su(Ste):CR42432 Su(Ste):CR42432
AAGUGGUACGGCAUGAUUCACGCCCGAUACAUCAGGUCGGAGCGUGGCGUGAAUGAUAUGCACCGAAAGUAUAUGAGAGGAGACUUUGAAUCGUGUCAAAAUAUCUCCUGUAAUAGGAAGAACACCCUGCCAGUGGGCCUCAGCGAUGUGUGGGGCAAGUCAACGGUGAAGAUCUACUGCCCACGCUGUAAAAACUACUUCCAUCCUAAAACUGAUACACAGCCAUGUUCGGGCCCAGCUGUCCGGACAUCUUCUUAACGCAGCUGCCGAACUUGAGACCGCCCCUGGACGACCCACGGUAAGUAAUUCUCCGAAUAUAGUCCUGGUUGUUUUCUAACCAAAGCGCUUAACUUGCAGUCCCUAUGCUUUCGUUUGCACCAGAUGCAACUUGGCCUUGAUGCCACUUAAAUCGCCCAAGUCCUCACCAAUGAAUAUCAAAUCCUCGACCAGCUAGUCCUCCUCCUCGCUCCGGCAUUCCGAAGUCAAGCGCUUCAAUGUCCUUAUAGGGAUGACGUGAUUUUUUAACUCCACACAAAAGAAAGCAGAAAUGUUUUUCCGAUAUAUUGUUGUUGCAAUUAAACAGAUUCCGCAGUGCGUUGAUAUGGCCAGCUACCACCUACUAAUACACCUCAUACACCUCUGCCCUAAAUACUUGGAUCAAAGUGUUCGGUCCAAGCUGGUCAUAUCAAGCACUCAUUCGAUUAGCAAAGCAUACUUUUCGGUAAUAGUGGGAAUCACCUGGGUAUAAUAAUAAU